UGCUCUGAACGUUAGAGGCAAUGUGAUUGCGGGGGGGUGGAGAGACACUUGAAAGAAAUGGAACUGGAGGAAAAAAACCAGACUGAAAUAAAAGAAGAAAAACAGAUUGUAUAAGGACAUUGAUUAAGAUGGCUGUCUGUGCCAGUCGCAUGCCGUCAACAGUCCCCCACGCCCCCGUGUGACGGCCCGGAGAGCGGGCAUCCGAAUAUGUGAGCGAGUUUGGGACCGGAAGCUUAGACCCCGGAAGCUGAGCGGCGGCGCAGAGAGGACGCUGGAGACGCGCUGGACAGCCAGGCUUCAGAGUUUUUCAGAAUGUUCUCCAGGACUCAUGAGAGAGCAGGGAACCCUCCUUGAAAUCAUAGAGG